AAGAACUGAUCUUUCUGGAUAGUAUAUGAACUGGAGAAAUACAACUCCAUACGUGGUUCACAGACGCGUGGAGAUGAAAGUGACCUUUGAAAGGAAGCAACAUGUUCUCUUUCUGCCCCCAUUCCACAACCAACUGCUCUCUGGGAAAAAAAAAUAAAUCCUCAACUCUUUGGCCACAUGUAAGUAUAUAUUGGACUAUGGAGUGCAGUGUUU